AAUAUUGCACAAUGGGGGAAACCCUGAUGCAUCGGCGCCGCGUGAGUGAAGAAGUAUUUCGUUAUUAAAAGCUCUAUCUGCAGGGAAGAAAUUGACGGUAGCUGAUUAAGAAGCCCCGGCUAACUACGUGUCAGCAGCCGCGGUAAUACGUAGGGGGCAAGAGUUAUCCGGAUUUACUGGGUGUAAAGGGAGCGUAGGUGGUUUGGUAAGUCAGAUGUGAAAGCCCGGGGCUCAACCCCGGGACUGCAUUUGAAACUAUCAAACUAGAGUGCAGGAGAGGUAAGUGGAAUUCCUAGUGUAGCGGUGAAAUGCGUAGAUAUUAGGAGGAACACCAGUGGCGAAGGCGGCUUACUGAACUGUAACUGACACUGAGGCUCGAAAGCGUGGGGAGCAAACAG
rnacentral:rRNA from 1 species